AGAUGUGAGGGCAAUCUGGCUGUGACAUCUGUCACCCCAUUGAUCGCCAGGGUUAAUUCGGCUGAUCUAGCUGGUUAGGCGGGUGUCCCCUUCCUCCCUCAACGAUCCAUGUGUGUCCCUCCCGAAGCUGCGCGCUCGGUCGAAGAGGAUGACCACCCCCGAUAGAGGAGGACCGUUGCUCGGUCAAGGGUAUACGAGUAGCUGCGCUCCCCUGCUAGAACCUCCAAACAAGCUCUCAAGAUUACACCUUACAUCCUUAAGAUCUAAGACAGCCUAGAAUUCAAGAUUCUCAUUCUACAGCCCUUCUCUUU
ensembl:misc_RNA 7SK 7SK RNA